rnacentral:rRNA from 1 species
UACGUAGGAUGCAAGCGUUGUCCGGAAUUAUUGGGCGUAAAGAGUUCGUAGGCGGUUGCCUAAGUCUGUUGAUUAAAGGCCUGAGCUCAACUCGGGUAUGGCAAUGGAUACUGGGCGGCUAGAGUGUGGUAGAGGUCACGGGAAAUUCCAGGUGUAGCAGUGAAAUGCGUAGAGAUCGGGAGGAACAUCUGUGGCGAAGGCGACUGCCUGGACCAGCAC